rnacentral:rRNA from 1 species
UACGUAGGCAGCGAGCGUUGUUCGGAAUUACUGGGCGUAAAGAGUGUGUAGGCGGUGUUCCCAGUCUGUUGUGAAAUCUCCCGGCUUAACUGGGAGGGUGCAGCGGAAACUAGAAUGCUAGAGGGUGGGAGAGGUAAGCGGAAUUCCUGGUGUAGCGGUGAAAUGCGUAGAUAUCAGGAGGACCACCUGUGGUGUAGACAGCUUACUGGACCACUUCUGACGCUGAGACACGAAAGCGUGGGUAGCAAACAGG